rnacentral:lncRNA from 1 species
AGUGGCACAAUCGUAAAUAUUUCGAAAUGAGAUUUUUUAUAUAAAAACUAAGACUUCUCUCUCUCUCUCUCUCUCUCUCUCUCUCUCUCUCUCUCUCUCUCUCUCUCCCUCUCCCGUCGGCUCUCUCUCUCUCUCCUCGUAUCUCCGGCCACCGACCACGGCUGUGGACGGGGCCGGUACCAAAACGACCGGGACGACGUCC